rnacentral:tRNA from 1 species
GGAGAGAUGGCUCAGUGGUUAAGAGCACUGGCUGCUCUUCCAGAGGUCCUGAGUUCAAUUCCCAGUGAUUACA